UGACUUAUAAAUAUCUGUUUAGUAAAAUUUAAUAUGUAUGAUAAUAGUAAAUAGUAUAAAUGUAUGACAAUAUUGGUAAUAAAUAUAUGAUAAUGUUUAUAGUAAAUGUAUGAUAAUUUUGAUAAUAAAUAUAUAAUAAUGUAAAUAGUAAAUAGUAAAUAUAUGUUAAUAUGUAUGAUAAUGUUGUAAAUAGUAAUAGUAAAUAUUUAUUUAAUAAUAUUUAAUAUGUAUGAUAAAGAUCACUAGUUUGAAAGCUAAGUAUGGAGAAUUAAAUUACUAUGAAGGCAAAAUAUUAGUGAGAAAUCAUAAAGAUCCACUUGAGUGGCCUGUCUGCCGCGAACGAACCGGCCCCGCCGUAGGUUGUUUCUAAGGCGAGUGGUCAUUCAUGGUAGAGGUUGAGUUUACUUAAGUUUUAUUUUGAAAUCAGGAUUAUAGGCUCAUGGCUUCCAACAGACUUAAGAAUCUGCUGUUAAUUAUCCCACACUUUCGUUGUUAAGGAACCCUCGAUUAAGAGACUAAUUAUAAAUGCUAAUAAUAAAUAAGACAAAACAGGCAAAUAAAAUUUUAUUAAUAUGAUUUGGUGGUCGGUCGGGAUCAAAUUGAGAUGCUCAGUUUAGCGACAUGACGGUCGAUUUUUGUAAGGACUGAGAUUUUGACUGUGCAACUAAACUCUCUGUUGACGAUGUUUUUGUGUGUAAUUUAAUUACAAAAGCACUCGUCAAAUUUCGGGAGAAAUCGAGUUAAAACGGAGAUUCUACGCGAUUUCCAAGUUUCACUUAAAGUGAAUAGUAACUCGAUUUUCCGGAGAAGCCACGGU
rnacentral:lncRNA from 1 species